CUGUCUGGAGUCUGUCUGAAACUGAACAAAUUGGAGAUGGAGUUUUAAGUCUCCAUCUAAAUUGAUAAGAAAUAAUGAAUUCAAUAUGGGAAUUUACAAUCACUGAACAACGCUAGCGAUUGAAUUACCGCGCAAUAUAAAUCAAUAUUUAGGCUGACGCUUUGAAAGUUUUUUCAAUGUUUAUCAUCAGACAAUUCAUUAUUUACAGGUAUCAUCUUCUUCCGUCCUGACAAAAAGCCUAUUUGCCCGAAGUUUAAGCCUAAUGGAGCGUUUCAAUGGAGCAGUUAUUUGAAAGAAGGCCCUUAUGACAUCUUGAACCCUGUACAUAAACCCCAUGUCUGUGGUGAGGACACUGUUCCAUGGCUGAUGCGUGUGAGGAGGAUGGCUGUGCUCUGCACCACGAAGAAGAUGUCAUGCUGAGGAUGGGUUUCUGCACUGAUGUUGUUGGUGUGAUGUACUAUAGCGGUGGCUCUCUCACUGUGUCUCUGUUGGCCAUGAAGCGUAACCAUAGAGAGUGAGUGACAGCCUGGUCCCCACACAGCAUAGGGGGCCUGAGAACCACAGACUCCUUUCAGAAGCAGUGAGGACUGACCAGUCUGCAAGCGAGACACUGGCCUUUCUUCCAUCAUGCCAGUCACUGACUGCUCUAGGCGUUUUGUUCAAAAACUAGUGCCACAAGUAUGGAAAUGCAGAUAAAUCAUUGUAACAAAUGAAAGAGGGGAAAAAAAGGUUUAAAUGCCUGGAAAUGGUCACUGUCCACCACUUGUACCACUGCCUGGUGCAUUUUGUUUUUAAAGUUUUGCCAACAUUUUCAGUUGUUGACGGAUCUGUAGAGCGAAGGUAUCUAUCUACACACGCAGAUUAUGAGAGCCCUCAAUGUAAAUAACAUAUUAUUGUUUCUUUGAAUUUAAGAUGUCGUUAACAAUGACCUAUCACAGUUUGCUGAUUAUAUGCCCGAAUGUAAUCCUUCAGAUAAACAUUCUACAUAGUUUGGUAGAUAUGGAAACAUACAACUGCCAUGUAUCGUUUACGGGGAAAAAUCAAAACAGUAUAAAGCAAGCCUGUUUAGUAUUACGUUUUGCUGGCUAUAUGUUAUUUGGGUAAGUCAUAGAAGCUCUGUAAGUAUGUACAACAUGUUUUUUUAUAUAUUUAAAAAAAUAUAUCCACAGUAUAUCUAUUGUCUUAAUCAAGUAUCCCCCAACAGUCCAAAUGGAGGAGUAGUCCAAUGGCGGUUAUAUAUUGUGAUGAUUGAACGAGUUGAACCAGUCGUAGGCUGGGAGUAGUAUGAGGAAGAAUAUGGAAACAUAGAAACAUUUAUCUCAAAUUAUAUCCAAGACAUUUCAUCCAUCUUUAUUUUGUAAAAAAAUGUUUUGUCAAAGUGAUGAGAAAAAUAUGAUUUUCCAUUUUGUGUAAUGUUGUGAUUGUCCUUCUCAUAAUAAAAAUGAGGACAUACUGAAAUGUGAUGUCUGUGUUUUUAAAGUUGUAUGCUUGUCACCUUUUUAUGAACUAACCUGACCUGUGUGAUGACAACACAAACCUGGGAACAUAAAGCUAUUGGAUGGAAAUUCACUUUACGAUUUUUCAUGAGCAAACAUCACAGUUAUAAGGCCUACUUGGAACUUAAGCCAACCUUGUACCAGCUUUGUUGUGAUAAUGCUAUUUUAUUGUUAACCAUUGUAAAUGAAAAAAAAUGUUGUGUGUCAUUAUUCCAUUUUAUUUAUCUAGUAGUCUUAUUGAUAAGAUAACUGUAAUGUCAAUGGUCUGGGGAAGGGGAGUACUAGGUCUAAUAACAGCUCACCACUUAAACGAAUGCACCCUUCUGGGCUGGACCUAACCUCUCCGGGGUAGUAAUAGUUGCAACAAAUGGUGGCAAAAUCCAAAUCAUGUAAAUAUUCUAGAUUUGAGCUUUUUGGUGCAUUUUGUCAUUGACCUUUUUGGUCGAAAGGUUACUACAAAUGAUAUUGGUGAUUUUCCCAGUGGUGUUGCCAAAACAAUGACGCCAUCCAAAUGGACUCCUUGGAACAACUCUGACCUCACCCCAUUGAAGUUGAAAUGUAAAACAGUUAGGUAAGGGUUAAGGUUCGGGGUGAGUUAUAGGUUCAGGUUGUGGGCAAUGUUUGAUGUAAGGAGAGUGGCUAGGGUUAGGGUUUAGGGUAGGGCCAUCACAAGAAUCCCGGAUAGCACUAACCAUUUGUCAGUGGAGGGUCAACGUUUUCUUUCCGAUUUUUCUGUGUUUGCAUAGAGAUGGCCAUGUCUCACAGGCGUUCAUAUAAAUAGAAUGAAUUAAUUCUGUUUCCAUGGUUAAGUUAUCCUGGACUCUGGAUGAUAGAAAAAAUGAUGACGUCAGAGAGGUUUUAAGUGUAUUAUCAUUGAGGUUUAUUUACUUUUCUUUUCCAGUUUUUCAGGAGGAAGUUAAUUACACAAUGAAUACAUACAUGAUACAAAUGAUGUACAUUAUACCAAAGAAUACUUUGAACAUAAAAUAAUUAAAAAUAACAUUGUAUAAUAAUA